rnacentral:tRNA from 1 species
GGGUGUAGUUCAAUGGUAGAACAUCAGCUUCCCAAGCUGAGAACGUGGGUUCGACCAUUCGACGUCCGGUGGACGUCGAAUGGGACGUCGGGCCGGUCGAGGCCCG